rnacentral:rRNA from 1 species
CACGUAGGGUGCGAGCGUUGUCCGGAAUUAUUGGGCGUAAAGAGCUCGUAGGCGGUUUGUCGCGUCGGCCGUGAAAUCUCCACGCUUAACGUGGAGCGUGCGGUCGAUACGGGCAGACUUGAGUUCGGUAGGGGAGACUGGAAUUCCUGGUGUAGCGGUGAAAUGCGCAGAUAUCAGGAGGAACACCAAUGGCGAAGGCAGCUCGCUGGGACGGUACUGACGCUGGAGGCGCGAAAAGCUAGGGGAGCAAACGGG